GACGAACGCUGGCGGCGUGCUUAACACAUGCAAGUCGAACGGAAAGGCCCUGCUUUUGUGGGCUGCUCUACUGGCGAACGGGUGAGUAACCCGUGGGUAACCUGCCCUUGACCUUGGGGUAUCUUCAUGAAACUGGGGCUCAUCCCGGCUAGGAGCUCUCGCUGCAUGGUGGGGGUUGGAAAGUUUCGGCGGUUGGGGAUGGACUCGCGGCCUAUCAGCUUGUUGCUUGGGUAGUGGCAUACCAUGGCCUUGACGGGUAGCAGUCCUGGGAGGAUGACCGGCCACGUUGGGACGGAGAUACGGCCCAGACUCCAACGGGAGGCAGCAGUGGAGAAUAGUGCACAAUGGGCGGAAGCCAGAUGCAGCAACGCCGUGUGGGGUAAGACAGCCUGCGGGUUGGAUACCGCAGUCGCCUGUGACGAAGCGUGAAUGACGGUAAUGGGUGAAGAAGCACCGGCUAACUACGUG
rnacentral:rRNA from 1 species